AACGCACCUUGCGCUCCUUGGUAUUCCGAGGAGCAUGCCUGUUUGAGUGUCAUGAAAUCUUCAACCACCACAUUGGUUUUUUGCCAGAGUGUGUGGCUUGGAUUUGGGUGUUUUGCCUCUGCAUCGCAGUUGGCUCACCUUGAAAACAUUAGUGGAUCUUGUCUGAUUGUGACAUGGUUUGACUUGGCGUAAUAAGUAUUUCGCUGAGGACAUCUCUUGGGAUGGCCAGGUUGCUCGACUCCAUAUCUGCUCUCCAACCCUUCCUGACAGCAAUGUUGGGAAACAUCUUUUGACAUCUGGCCUCAAAUCAGGUAGGACUACCCGCUGAACUUAA
rnacentral:rRNA from 1 species